GCGGCCCAGCUGCCUGGACCUCUCGCCUCCCUGGGGUGCGCCCCCAGCCCUAGGCGACCCGCUUGGGCGCUGGGUCGGCGACUGUAGUACGGGUUUCUCCGAAGCCAGCGAGCCGAGCCGAGACACCGAGAGAAUUGAGGAGGAGGAGGAGGAAGAGGAGGAGGAGGAGGAGGAGGAGGUGGAGGAGGAGGAGAAAAAGGAGGAGGAGCAGAGUGGGAGGAGGAGCCGCCGGCCGCGGGCCCAGCGGCGCGCAAUGCUCUCCAAGAGCGCGCCGAGCCCAGCCCCGGCUCUGCAGUCCGCGCCAGCCAAGCGUCCGCGCCUUUUCUACAGCCGCGCCUUACAUCACGUCCUGCCGCCGCGCCAUUGGCCGCCCAGCACCCCGGUCCCUGGCAGCGCGUGCUCCGGGAAGGCGGGAGACCCGAGAGGGAGGGGAGAAGCAGGAGGAGGAGAAGAGCGACGAGAUGGUGGGAGCUGGUGGGCAAGGCUGGAGGGAGGGGGCGGGAGGAAAGGAAGGAGGAGGAAGAGCGCGGGGUUUGGAGUUUUUAAGCUACGAACAGUUUCCUGCGAUUUCUUUGGGAUGGAAAAUUAAACCCUCUCUCCCCGCCGUCUCCAUCCUAAGAAGGCGCAGCCAGAGGAUGCUUGAGGAGCUUUCACUCCAGUUUCCCCUCGGCCCAGAGCUGCCGCCUCGGGCACAGGCUGGGGAGGCCUGGGAAGGCAGGCCUGGGGCAGAGCUGCGAGAGCCUUCAACUGCUUCCCGCGGAGCUCGGCCUUCGGCCCAGGCUCCGCUCUGUGGGUUGCGGGCGGCCGCCUAGGCCUCCUGAGGACCCGGCUGAGCCUGAGAGGCUAGAGCCGGCGGGAGCUGAAGACUCGGGGCAGGGGAGGGGGGGCGGGGAGGAGGGCCAACCAGCAUAGACACGCUCCAAGCAACCUAGGGCCCACUUUAUGGGAGGGUGCAGCUCCUUCUUGCUGUUCUUGGUCCCUCUACAGCCCGGAGGAGUGGAUGUGAGCAUGGCUUUAGGCACUAGGAAAGAAGAGGUUCGAAUCCCAGUUCUGCCAUUUACAUGCAGUGUAACCUCAGGCAAGUGACUGAACUCCCUUUAGACUGUUUUUGAUCUUUUCACCGAGGGACGAGAAGGGCCCCUCCACACAUGUAAUGAACAAAAGCGAUCAUGGACGUUAAAGUACCUGGAACAUAGUAGGCAGCAACCGAAUUCUUUCAUCACUCCCUCUUUUCCCUCUCCAUCUCCUCCUAUUUAAACUUUCCUACUCCGACAUACAUUGAGCAUUACGAGGUCCUUAAAGACCACAGGCCCGUCCUCUGCUGUUUGCAUCAUGCCACAGACCCAGCUGUUGACAGACGUCCCCCCUGCCGCCUGGCUGCACCACUUCUCCAAGGAUCAACAACCUGGCCUGUGGGUAAAUCCCAACUGCCACCCCAGCCCCCAGACUUCAGGCUUAACCUAGAGUCUCUUGGGGACACAAGCAUGAUACCUAGGUGUGUGGCGAAGCUGGAUUUAGGAAAUAAAAAGUGACUGUGGAGAAAAACUGAUUGAGCCAAGUCAGGAACAGAGUCCCAUUUCCUGGGUUUGCUUUGGAGGUGGGUCAGUCUGAAGUGACUGGCUUGCCAAAAGGAGGCAAGGGGCUAGCCAGGAUCUGUGCAGGUUAUCUUACAGGGCAGAGUUGAGGCGGCACCAAAUAAUACCUUCUACAUACUGUGCAUAACUUUCAAACACAAACAUAUGUAUGUUUGUAAUGCCCAAGCACAUGCAUUCGUGUUCAUGUGUGCAAACGCACAUGUUCAUCCCUGUUGGCAAAAACACGGCCAGCAGGAGUGUAGGACUAGAAUCUACACAGGCACAUCAGGAAUAAGUGUCCCGUGCCAGGCAGGAGGAUGCAUUUGUAAAGGGGUAAAUUGCAUGUUGUACGUACAAUUGCAUGUUCAGACAAUACUACCUAAAUCCCUGCGUGCGCGUCUCCGAGGCCAUGUUUUGCGUAUUUGAAAAACUCUUGAAGUUAUAAGUACACGCUGCACAGGCACGCGAGGGAAGGACCAUCAACCCAAAGACGCGCGCGUGCGCGUGUGUUCACACAGACGUGUGCUUUGGCGCCUGCACACGGCCCGCGCCCAGGCUCGCAGACGCCUACACGUAUACACAGGCGUGUUUUACUGACGCAUCUGGGGCACUUUCUUUCAAAGAAAGUAAGGAAUGAAAAUCUAAUCUGGGAGUCACCGGGGUUCAUCUGGAGGUCGCCCAAAGGAUAGAAAAAAAAUUGUAACAACGCUGGAGAAUUUGUCCUUGGUGCAGCUCCGCGCCUAGGCUAGAUGGAUACAGUACGUUUUUGGGAACUCCAGGGCCUGCUUUAGGAGGUGGGGGGCGGGUGGGGGAGGAGGAUCCCACGGCAACUCGUGCCACGGACUUCUCAAGAAACACGGAAACACACCCUGCGGCUCUUCACUCCCCCCACAUUUGUAAGUGCACGAUUUCGUCGCCACUCUGACCUGCAGUCCACGCCCAUCGCUGACCGACCCCAAAUUCCCUGGCAGGCACCAUUCCCGCCGGGUGCGCCCGCCUGUGUAGCCCUCGGUGUCAGGCUGGGACGCGCCCGGGUCUACAAGGCGCUCCAAGGCGUCUCCCGCCGCGGGGCGGGAUCUGGGUGCCCAGGCCCUGGGCUUGGAGGCGGGUAACUUUGCUAAUCUUCCCCACAGGCGGGGGGACGUCGCACAACCGCUGAGCCCUGUCCGCGAAGACUAAACAAGGAAAGGAACAGGCUGUAAACACACAUCCUGACACGUGAGUGACAUUUACACGGUGCGAGAAGCCUCAGCCGAGAGGAAGGCAGGGGGUUGGGGGAGCAGACACCCGCAGGUAAAAGUAAUAUUCCGAGCGGUCGGAAACGGCGGCCCCUCGACGCCCCUCCCCCAGAUAGGGAAAAAGAAUCCCGAAGUCCCUAGAACCUGCCUUUUGUGGGAGGUGACAGGUGAACGGAAUUCAGGUCUGGCUACUCUCGCCGCUGCCUACCUCCCCACCAUCUGCUUCCUCGCAGACAAGCAGACCCGGCGCAUAAUGAGGUAGCAGCCUCCAGCCGGCCACCGUGACUAACUCAGAACAAAAGCGCUCCCUCCACGCCUCUUCCAACAAAGGGGCCACCAGCCCCGGCGCUCCCCGAAGGCUGCGGGGCUCCCGGCUGCCGGCUGCGGAGCUGCCGCGCGCAAACUUCCCGGGGCUCCCGGGGCUGCCGGCGCCACGGAGCCUGGGCCGCGGAGGGAGGAAGCACAUGCGGCCCCGAGAAAGCAGGGAUGUUGCUCUUGGAGAAUGUGAAGACAGUUUGCUUCUUGACAAGCGAGCGAGCGGGCGCCCAGAUUUUUGCAGCCUCUCGGAGUCUCCCCCGAGGGAAAGGCGGGCAGAGAAAACGCCGGAUUUGGGAGUCACUAGGGAAGGAUUCCGCGCAGAGGGAGCCGCCCUCUUUGGCCCCGGACCGGCCACCUAGGGCCCCCGCUUUGGGCACUGCCACUGGAUGACCUGAAACUCUGAGGAUGAUGUUGGGGAUUGGGGUAGGGGGAAGACUUUCGGAUAAUAACUGCAAAUAAAAAAAGAGGCAAAAACAAUUUCUUCUCUGCCUUGAAGCAGAAAGGACUGCGUUCUCAAAGCUGCUGGUUGCAGUCACAGGGCCAGUUGCCUGCCUCCGUUGCCUGUGUAAAGUGUAACGUCGCCCUGUUCUUCCAGUAGCACCACGAAGCAUUAUAUUCCUUGCUCCCCAAAGUGGGUCCUGCUUAGGGAAGUGUGUAUGCGUGCGUGUGUGUGUGUGUGUGUGUGUGUGUGUGUGUGUCCCUCCACAGUGAGACUGCUACUAGAAGUGCUGGCCACUCCUUCCAGAAAGCUGAAGGUUUAAAUUUUAAAAGGAGAGAGAGCAUUGCUGGUUGGGCUUCCUGGGAUUGCUACAGUGUGUCUUGACCCUAAUUCUGGUGAGAGAAUGGCAGGGACUGAACAAAGCCACCAACAUCUGAAAGUCCACUUCGAGGAUCUCACACUGGCCCCCGGGAGCCCCCCAGUGGGGUAGGCUUCCUGCACUUUUCCCUUCUCUCUAACCUCUGCCUCUUGUUGGUAUGGCAAAGGAAUGGUGAUUCCUUGCUACUGCGCAGGAAUGUGGGGUUGUAGACAUCUUCAAUUAAAAAUGGGGUGAGGCCAAGCGGCAGGGAUGGCAGAAAAGCCCCCGUAUCUUCAACAAGGAUCCCCCCCCUUUCCCAGGCCUGUGGGCCUCCUUCAGCAAACAGGGGGAGUGUUUUAUAUUGAUGUGAGAGGCUGUCAGUCAGCAGCAAAUCAGCUCAGGCAUGGCUACCUCUUUAUGAAAUCAGCUCAUUGCCUUGGUCACACCUUACAGAAAAUCUGGCGGUCGCCACUAUCGAUAAUAAAAAUUAGUGGGGCCUUAGCUAUUUCCAAGAAGAAGCCUAUGGCUGUGAAUAGAUAAAUGCCCGUCUCAGGCAGAGCAAAGCCCAAUUCCUCCUCCCCUUCUCCCUGCAGCGAUCUGAACAAUUCCGAAACCGCCUCCCUGGGCGUCAGCGGAGCUGGUUGGGGAACUAACCAGGGCCCUCUCUCUAGGGCCCUGUUAAAUGCACAGAACUUAAAAUGAAACACGAAGUGUGAAUUUCAGGUUUGAACAUGAUGCAUCAGGAACCGUGGAGGUUGGCAGCCCUUUUCCUCCCUCCUGCAUUUCGGUAGGCAGGUAUUAAUAUUGUAUUAAAUGUUAUGAGGAAGUAAGGGCUGCGGAGAGGAAUAUGCUCAGAUGCAAUUUUGUCAAGGUUUUUAUCUGUGAUUAUGAUUCCAGAUGUAGAAACUCCCGGAGGAGGGAAAUGAGGGGCUGCUGGCAUGUGACAUGUGUUUUAAGGUGUUUGGCAGUGUUUCUCAAAGUGGUGACAAAAUGUUCAAUUUUAUUACAGCGAAUCGGUAAAAGAAAUAUGAAUACUAGGUCAGAGAUUGUUCACCUCAGCAAAAGGAUUUACCAUUAGUGAUUUGGGCGGGGAAAGUUUGUAUCUGGGUCCUGCUUAAAUCACAUUGUCAAGAAUGCAAAUCUGUCAUAUCAGACUAUUCUUAAAGAACAAUUGUAACAAAAUACACAAUAGCUGAUUGUAUCUCCCCCACCUACUAAUUUCCAUGCAAAGAUGUAAAUUGUCUUGGAAGCACGGGCGUGUGUGCCGGCACAUGCGCGCGUGCACACACGUGCACGCGCGCGCGCGCGCACACACACACAUACAGACACAGUAAAUAUUGCAACAAGAUGGUCAAUUUUUUUUUCCAGCCAGUAUAACUACAGCCAUUCCUUGAGGGUAAUUUUUUUUUAAUCUAACCCAGAAUACUACCCGGUCCUACAAGGGCCAUUUUGCUAAUCUCGCUGCCUUUUAGGUUGAAGCACAAAUAACAGCGAUAAAUUUCUUCACACAGGGAAACCACAUUUUGCUGAAAGGAAAAUCAAGAUGAUUUUGUGUGAAAAAAGGGGGGAUGGGGGAGGAAGCAGCUGAACUCUUGACUAGCUGACAAGUCCUGGGUCUACAUGCUCUGGAGACUGGAAAUAUUUCCUACCACAAUCUUUCUGUAUUUAGAGGCAUCCCUGCCACCCUUCUCUGACAGCAGGACACCCCUCAACUCUUUCUAAGCAAAGGUUUCCUCAUGAACCUUUUAUGAACUUCACACACACUAAUCCACACGAGUGCCCAGCCAGCGCUGACCAUACUGCGGAUGGGUUUGGUAAACAUUUCCACAGAACAAAAAGGGGGGGCGGUUUGGGCUAAAGAUGCUGGACUUGGCUUGUCCUUGAGUCCCCAGUCAUAGGAUGAGAGUCUCUACACACUCUCUGUAGGCAUUGCUGUAUAGAUCACCCCAUAUCUAGCAGAGCGGGUAUAUUUCUCAGCCCAGUUCAUGAAGAAACUCACACAUAUUCAGCCCCCAGCCUUUCCUUAAUUCAGGCUAAAGAAUGCUGAUUUUGGUUUUCCAGCCACUGGCACUACUUUACCAUCACAGAACAUACUAGGCUCCUAGCACAAAAUGCACCUUUCUUGGAAGUAAGAAGGUUCCUCUCCUUUGAUAUGAUGUAGGACAUGACACAUUUCUGAGGGGAACUGUGAGGUUGCAGGGAAGGGAAAAUGCUCAUCCUGGCCACUUCCAGCAGGACCCUUCCCCUACCCUAGCCCAACUUUCCAUUGGCCCCAUUAGCAAAUCUCUUGCUUUUUGGGAAACUGGCAUUGUCUCUUUAGGUGAGGAACAGGCAUUUCCCACAUAUGUUUCAGCUGAAGUCCAGCCCCUCAUGUCCCCCCCAUUUUUCUUCUUCCAUUAAUUAAAAUAACUAAUGUCCCAUAGAUUAUCUUUGCAUGAAUGAAAAUCAUUAUGGGCCCUUGCAGGUAUAUGGGAAAUUCUGUUUGCUUAAGUAUUCACACUUUGAUUUCCAAUAGACUCAUUUUCUCAGGCAUAAAGAAAUUCAAACAAAACAAAACAAAACAAAAACAAAAACAAAAUCUCCUGACACUUUGCAAUAAAGCACGAAGACUGGUAGUAAUGAGCUUGUGCCGAUCUCUCACAAGAAGUGUUCAGAUGGCCCCGGCCCCGUUUUAGAGCUGAAUUAUACUAUCUGGUAAAGAAUUCUAGACAGUUAAGAUAAACAUUGAUAGGUCACCAGACCCAGGUUUUGAAUUUAUGCUUGCGUUGAGUUAGAUGAGCUCACCCAAAUUUACUUUUUACACUACCCGUGUCAGUCCUCGAAAGUAAAAAAGGCAGGGGACAAUCAGCUCUAUUUGGAAUUUCCCAGCUAGUUGGCCAUUUCAGCUUGCAUCUCCAUUUCUGGGGGCUGCCAUAAUUAGAGCAAUCUAUUUUGCAUUUACUUCUCUUUGCAAGCACUACAUUAUUCACUCUUUCCUGUGCUUAUUAAACAGUGCCACCUGCACCAAAUUCAACAAAGCUCUUCCAUCAGUCAACCCAGCUAAGGAUCCUGGACCAUAUAUUAUCAUUAAUUGAAGCUCAAUUGAAUAGUUGACGAUAGAGGCAUGAGUAAAAGCGACACAUUUUCUAGGACCUGUUUAUAAAAAUGUUUUAAGCAACCCCUCCCCACCCCCCCCAAAAAAACGCUCACACAUUUAUUCCCCAAAUUGUCAUCUUUUACAAACUCAUUUCAUUCUCUCUGUACAGUAAUUCAAGUAGCAAUUAGCAAGUCUUUUAAUUAAUGAACUAUUCCCUGUAAGUCACCAAGGUGCCUCCAGUACAAAUGUCUUCCUUCAUAAGGUACUAGGAAAUGCAGUCAAUAUUUUGUCACCCAAAGCCUUCGAAGCUGACCACCUCAAUUGUCCUAAUGCUAUAAAAAGGAUCCGAAGAGCCAGAGACAAGGCUGGGAAGCAGAAGACAAUUUUCAGUAAACUAGCCAUGGAUAGAUGGUCUGAAUCCAGAGAGAGGGAGUGGCAGAAGGAAGGGGACCAUCAGAGAAAGGAGAGGCAGAAAAUGAAUGUAGGUAGGUAUCAGUGGUUAAAGAAAAGCACAGAAAGUUUCCAGCAAAGAAAGGACCACCUUGGCUCCAGCUAUGUUAUAAGAAACUCUCCAUCUAAAUGCUGAUGAUUUACACAUUUUUAAGAGCCUCAAACCUCACUGGGUCUUGUUCUUUAAAAAGCUUUCUGCUUUGUUCAAAAUACUGCUUAUCUUUGGCAUUGUCAACAGCUCUGCAUCUGGGAGAGAUUAAUUAAGUGAUAGGUCAGACACAAUGAGGUGAAAGGGCAUGUCCACCCAAUCAGGACUGAUUCAUCCAUUUCUUGGUGGAUCAACUUUUUUUGAGGGAUGCCAAUUUCAGUUCUAUUUUAGAGGGAAUUUAUCAAUAGGAAUGCCUGAGCUCCCCCACUGAGGGGCUCUUAACUAGAAAAGAUUUUUCUGCAGAUAGAAAAAUCUAACAUCUACACUCUGUCUUUUUAAGAUGUGAAACCAAAACAUAACUAUAAAUUGUAUGCUUAAGUUUCACUGAUCUGGGUGAAGGCUGAUUUUCUUGAACAUGAUCCUUCUAUAAAAUAGCUAAUUGGAUGAUUACAAAUAAGAUUGCCAAGCAACUCAAUAAAAAAAAAAAAA